rnacentral:tRNA from 1 species
GGGGUUGUGGCUUAGUGGUAGAGUGCUUGCCUAGCACUCGUGAGGACCUGGGUUCAAUUCUCAGCACCA